CUCCCAGGGUAAUGGUGAGGCUCCCAUGGAUGUGCUGGUUAUAAUCAUGUUGCUUCUGGAUCCUCUGUUUUCCAGGUGUUGGUACAAGAAGGGAUCGCGGUUCCUAUCUGGAACAAUUUGUACCCAACUUAAAAACUGUCAUGAAUUUUCUGCUUAAACUUUGAAUUUAAAGACCUUGAAGGAGCAUCUUUCCAAAAAUAACCAAGGGCUAGUGAUGCUUACAUCUGCCCCAACGAUGGAGGUCACAGCUGGAACUGCCUGGCACACAGACAUCUCUCAUGGCUGAAUCGUGCCUUAAUGCAGAUGCAAUGCAAUCAGCUGAUCAAGCUUCAUAGCCACCUGCCAUGAUGGAGUGUACUUGAAACUGUGAUCCAAUGCAAAGUCUUCAAAGUUCGUUGUCAAGGGGGUUUAUUACAACAACAGAAAUGUAUCCAAGACACGCGGUCAACAUUUGCCUAAGUAUGAAACAGGAAAAACAUACAAAGAAAAGAUAAAUGGACACCCAAGGUGGGGGAAAAACAGCUGCAACUGCCAGCUUCUUAUACAGAAUAGAUGAUAUUUUAUCAUUUAAGGUACAUAAUACAGACUUAUGAGAUCCAUACAGGAUUGAUCAGUGGUAAUAAUCUCAAAUGUGGUUCAGUUUUACUCUCCAUUGUCUUCCUGGAAUACAUGAGCUCUCUACAGUUUUUCA